rnacentral:tRNA from 1 species
AGAAACUUAGGUUAAUUAUUAAACCGGAGGCCUUCAAAGCCUCAAACAAGAAUAAUAUUUCUUAGUUUCUG